rnacentral:lncRNA from 1 species
AUGGCCGCAGCCCUUUGUGUCACCAGGCUGCCAGGAUGCAGCAGCGGGGUCUUUGCAUUCAGGGCACAGCUCGAUGUGGCCUCCCCACUCCCCCCAGCUCAUGGGUAUUCAUGCCGGCAGCAGCCCAUCACCAUGGCAUCCAGGCUGCCGGCAGGAACUGCCUGCCCUUUUCCCAGCCUUUGCAGCCAAGAGGCUGCCUGCCGGCCUCCGCUGGCAGCUCGCCUGCCCCAGCGCCUCUUAAGGGGCUUCACAAUGGGGCCGAGGUGGCGUUUGCCCCCGCGGCAGCCCCGCUGCGAUGCAGCUCAGGCAUGGGGCUGGGAGUGGUGCUGGGUGCCCCCAGCCUGCUGCAGGAGGCGGCACCCCUCUGUGCGGGAGCACUGGCUGGCACAGCCCAAGCGAGGGGAGUGGGGAGUGUCUGCACCCCACUUUUGGCCGUGGCCCCAGCAGCAUCAGGGGGUGGGGAGCCAGGACUGGAGACCCCCAGACAGGACACAACCAGGGGGACAGGCCCCACAGAGGCAACCCAGCUCACACAGCAGCCCCUUACCCACCCCCACCACCGGUGCUCCCCUUGAAGGCAGCGGGGGGCUGCUGUGCCGGGCAGGAGACCCCUGCCCUGUGGCUUGGUGCUCCUUGGGCAGGAUCUGCCAGCACAGCGCUCAGCCCCAAGACAGCUGCACAAGGUCGCCUCAGGGCGCAGCAGGACCCCACGUGUCAUGGGGGGCAGCACUUGGCCCCCCACUCCUGGGGACACCACCUGGGUGGUCCUGUGACCUUCAGUGUGUAGCAGUGCCAGAGCCGCACAGGGGGACAUCAUCGAGAUUACCCAGUUAUCGAGUAUCUAUCCAGGCGGAUGAGAUUAGCGCUGGUAUUGCAGCUUUGUGGUCAGCUGCCGAGCGAGGUGACAGCACAAUGUGGCUGAUGCCCACUCGCACCCCACUCCUUCCCCGGGACCCACGGGGGGAAGCUGUGCCACGGCCGGCGCUGCCAGCACCAGCACCCUGCAGCAGGAAGGAUGCUGUGCCGUGCCAAGCAGGACAAAGGCAGCCGUUGGUGCGUGCGGUGGGGUAG